rnacentral:lncRNA from 13 species
CCAGAAACCAUCUGGAAGAGCGAGAUUAACGGAUAAUGAGUGACAAUCACCGGGAGCUGGACGGCUGAAGCGCCUCGUUAAUCCCCCGUCCUCUGACGUAUAUCCUACCGAUACUCUCGGCGAACUGAACUUGAAAUCGUAAUGUCUACAACGACGACGGAGAGAUAGCUAGGUUGCCUCUCGGUGUACAACGGUGUUCUGUAUUAAUGAAGAUAAGAUAAAAUGAGCGAAUUCUACGAGAUAGAGGUGGAGGAACACCGAGUCAAUAUUGACGUUUGAAAGACAAAGCCGGAAGUCGAACAGAGGGCAAAAUGGGAAGCUGCGGUCAGGUUUGCGGGGAUAAGCUGAUUUUCUUCGAUGCACAGAUGAGACACGGAUGAGCACGGUUCUAUAUACGACGUGGUUUAUGCAAAAUUGUUCCUGACCUGGCACGAUCCCCCUUCUAUUCGCGCGGCGAAUCUGCAGCUUUAAGAUCUACCGUUGACCUUACAUAGGCCGUCGCACAAAGCAACUGGAGCAGCUUUCGCGUGCAUUUACUUUCGUGGCUGUAAUUCAGCGCUUUGUGAACUCGCAUUGAAACACGCGGAGGUCGUGGUGCGUCCCACCAAGGCUGACUAAUACCCGGAAUUGAAUGAAGUUGCCUCGUUUAACGCUUUGCUUGACCACGAAACGACGAAUAUGCUCGCCCUUAUCAGCUUUAUCUCGUGAAAAGGUGCAGAAUUACGUCAACGGUCCUCAGCUGUGUGAAGAACAAAAAGGCACGCUACUACGUCAACGAUCACAAAAAAAAGAAGAUGUUAAAAUUGUACUCUUCCGUCCUCUACCGCGUUAACAUCGGCUUUCUCGGAGGCACGCACGUCGAACGCACGUUAAACGUUGCAGCGAUUUGAUUUCCGGGAAUCUUCGUAUACGUAAUUUAUAAUUAGAUACAUUUCAUAAAACGCGUCGGCGCUUUGUUGUGGGCGCGACCGCAUAUGUACGCGAUUUAUCGAUCCGAAACCGAUUACACGGCUCCGUGGCGCGCGUAGACCCCGUGUUACAUUUUCCGAACACACAGAGAUAGCGAGCGCGCGAACACAGGCGUACGUCGGUUGAAUGUGUACAUAGAGUGCGGCGCGUAUGCACGUGUACGUGUCAAUGUCGCCGACAGUCACGGCCGCGCGACCGACUCGCGUUUUCGCACUCCUCUAUUUUCUCGCCGUUAGUUGGUUAUUUUUGAAACGCGACUGUACAGUAACGAUCAUCAUCAGCGGACAUUGCGUUUUGUCUUCGCUCAUCUUUACACACGCAAGAGAGUCUCUUAGAUGAAAUAUAUCUCUUGUGGAUUAUAGAAAUAUAGACAGAUAGAUAGAUAGACAGAGAAACAGAGAGAGAAUACAUCGAAACGGUUCGAAGUCGAAUUUUCUAAUGUUAUCAACGUUAUUUACGUGUAAAUAAUUUGAUAUUUGAUUUGCAGUGUUGCGUUUAGGUGCUUUAACAUUAUCUAGAUAAAGUUAAGAUGAAGAUGAUUUAAUUUUUAAUUUAUCUAGAAUAA